AUUGAACGCUGGCGGAAUGCUUUACACAUGCAAGUCGAGCGGCAGCACGGGGGCAACCCUGGUGGCGAGCGGCGAACGGGUGAGUAACACAUCGGAACGUACCCUGUCGUGGGGGAUAACGAGUCGAAAGAUUCGCUAAUACCGCAUACGACCCGGGGGUGAAAGCGGGGGAUCGCAAGACCUCGCGCGACUGGAGCGGCCGAUGGCGGAUUAGCUAGUUGGUGGGGUAAAGGCCCACCAAGGCGACGAUCCGUAGCGGGUCUGAGAGGACGGCCCGCCACACUGGGACUGAGACACGGCCCAGACUCCUACGGGAGGCAGCAGUGGGGAAUUUUGGACAAUGGGGGGCAACCCUGAUCCAGCCAUUCCGCGUGAGUGAAGAAGGCCUUCGGGUUGUAAAGCUCUUUCGGUCAGGAACGAAAAGGACUCUCUCUAACAUAGGGGGUCAAUGACGGUACCUGAAGAAGAAGCACCGGCUAACUACGUGCCAGCAGCCGCGGUAA
rnacentral:rRNA from 1 species